rnacentral:rRNA from 1 species
GUUGGGUAGGGGAGCGUUCUGUAAGCCGUUGAAGGUGACCUGUGAGGGUUGCUGGAGGUAUCAGAAGUGCGAAUGCUGACAUAAGUAACGAUAAUGCGGGUGAAAAACCCGCACGCCGGAAGACCAAGGGUUCCUGUCCAACGUUAAUCGGGGCAGGGUGAGUCGACCCCUAAGGCGAGGCUGAAAAGCGUAGUCGAUGGGAAACAGGUUAAUAUUCCUGUACUUGGUGUUACUGCGAAGGGGGGACGGAGAAGGCUAGGCUAGCCGGGCGACGGUUGUCCCGGUUUAAGCAUGUAGGCGGAGCGACUUGGUAAAUCCGGUUGCUUAUCAACGCUGAGGUGUGAUGACGAGUCACUACGGUGGUGAAGUAGUUGAUGCCAAGCUUCCAGGAAAAGCCUCUAAGCAUCAGGUAACAUUAAAUCGUACCCCAAACCGACACAGGUGGUCAGGUAGAGAAUACUCAGGCGCUUGAGAGAACUCGGGUGAAGGAACUAGGCAAAAUGGUGCCGUAACUUCGGGAGAAGGCACGCUGGCAUUAGGUAAAGGGACUUGCUCCCGGCGCCGAAGCCAGUCGCAGAUACCAGCUGGCUGCAACUGUUUAAUAAAAACACAGCACUGUGCAAACACGAAAGUGGACGUAUACGGUGUGACGCCUGCCCGGUGCUGGAAGGUUAAUUGAUGGGGUCAGCCUUACGGCGAAGCUCUUGAUCGAAGCCCCAGUAAACGGCGGCCGUAACUAUAACGGUCCUAAGGUAGCGAAAUUCCUUGUCGGGUAAGUUCCGACCUGCACGAAUGGCGUAAUGAUGGCCAGGCUGUCUCCACCCGAGACUCAGUGAAAUUGAACUCGCUGUGAAGAUGCAGUGUACCCGCGGCAAGACGGAAAGACCCCGUGAACCUUUACUAUAGCUUGACACUGAACAUUGAGCCUUGAUGUGUAGGAUAGGUGGGAGGCAUCGAAGUGUGGACGCCAGUCUGCAUGGAGCCAACCUUGAAAUACCACCCUUUAAUGUUUGAUGUUCUAACUCGGCCCCAUAAUCUGGGGUGAGGACAGUGUCUGGUGGGUAGUUUGACUGGGGCGGUCUCCUCCCAAAGAGUAACGGAGGAGCACGAAGGUUAGCUAAUCACGGUCGGACAUCGUGAGGUUAGUGCAAAGGCAUAAGCUAGCUUGACUGCGAGAGUGACGGCUCGAGCAGGUACGAAAGUAGGUCUUAGUGAUCCGGUGGUUCUGAAUGGAAGGGCCAUCGCUCAACGGAUAAAAGGUACUCCGGGGAUAACAGGCUGAUACCGCCCAAGAGUUCAUAUCGACGGCGGUGUUUGGCACCUCGAUGUCGGCUCAUCACAUCCUGGGGCUGAAGUAGGUCCCAAGGGUAUGGCUGUUCGCCAUUUAAAGUGGUACGCGAGCUGGGUUUAGAACGUCGUGAGACAGUUCGGUCCCUAUCUGCCGUGGGCGUUGGAAGAUUGAGAGGGGCUGCUCCUAGUACGAGAGGACCGGAGUGGACGAAUCACUGGUGUUCGGGUUGUCAUGCCAAUGGCAUUGCCCGGUAGCUAAAUUCGGAAGAGAUAACCGCUGAAAGCAUCUAAGCGGGAAACUUGCCUCGAGAUGAGUCUUCCCUGGGGCUUUAAGCCCCCUGAAGGAACGUUAAAGACUAUGACGUUGAUAGGCUGGGUGUGUAAGUGCAGCGAUGCAUUGAGCUAACCAGUACUAAUGAUCCGUGAGGCUUAACCUU